CUGGGUUCAGUACGUCGUGAGACAGUACGGUCUCUAUCUGUUGUGUGCGUAGGUAACUUGAGAGGAGUUGUCCAUAGUACGAGAGGGCCUGGAUGAACGAACCUCCUGUAUAUCAGUUGUUCUGUCAAGAGCAUAGCUGAUUAGCGGUGUUCGGUAGGGAUAAGUGCUGAAAGCAUAUAAGCACGAAACCCGCCUCAAGAUAAGGUUACCCUGGAAUUAUUUCCCAUAAGAUCCCCGGAAGACCACCGGGUUGAUAGGCAGGAAAUGUAAGCAUAGUAAUAUGUUCAGUUAACCUGUACUAAUAGAUCGUGAGGCUUGGCCGU
rnacentral:rRNA from 1 species